AUUGAACGCUGGCGGCAGGCCUAACACAUGCAAGUCGAGCGGAUGAAGGGAGCUUGCUCCUGGAUUCAGCGUCGGACGGGUGAGUAAUGCCUAGGAAUCUGCCUGGUAGUGGGGGAUAACGUCCGGAAACGGGCGCUAAUACCGCAUACGUCCUGAUGGUGAAAGUGGGGGAUCUUCGGACCUCACGCUAUCAGAUGAGCCUAGGUCGGAUUAGCUAGUUGGUGGGGUAAAGGCCUACCAAGGCGACGAUCCGUAACUGGUCUGAGAGGAUGAUCAGUCACACUGGAACGGAGACACGGUCCAGACUCCUACGGGAGGAAGCAGUGGGGAAUAUUGGACAAUGGGCGAAAGCAUGAUACAGCCAUGCCGCGUGUGUGAAGAAGGUCUUCGGAUUGUAAAGCACUUUAAGUUGGGAGGAAGGGCAGUAAGUUAAUACCUUGCUGUUUUGACGUUACCAACAGAAUAAGCACCGGCUAACUUCGUG
rnacentral:rRNA from 1 species